UUGAUAUUAAACCAGAACUGAUCACUUUUUGUGGUAAUGACGAGUAACAGACUCCGCCUCCUGACACUGACUCCAUAAAGCUGCUGUGCUAUCAGAUCUGACUCUACUUCAUUAAAAUGAGAGGACUGAUAGUGCUGUGUUUGGUGGGUCUCAUCCUUGCUGCCUCGUUGCCUAAAGGAGGCACAGCCACGCUUGAGCCGCAGAAAGAUGAAAAACCAAAACCCCCUUGGAAUCCAGGUGAUUGGCAUCCUUUUCAAAGUACAGGUGGUUUCAAACCUGGACCAACUGAUGGAACUGUGACUGAGGGAGAUCAAAAAUGACAGCAGACAGACAGACGAGCUGAGCAGAUGUCAACAUGUUGACAGAGAUGACAUUUCCAUUUAUCUGCUGGUGUUCCUGCCUCCUUCAAAUAAACAUGUCAAGUCUGU